GACGGAGGGUGCAAGCGUUGUCCGGAAUUACUGGGCGUAAAGGGCGCGUAGGCGGUCAGGUCAGUCCCGUGUGAAAUCCCUCGGCUCAACUGAGGAACUGCACGGGAAACUGCCUGGCUUGAGUUCGGGAGAGGGAAGCGGAAUUCCGGGUGUAGCGGUGAAAUGCGUAGAUAUCCGGAGGAACACCGGUGGCGAAGGCGGCUUCCUGGACCGACACUGACGCUGAGGCGCGAAAGCGUGGGGAGCAAACAGG
rnacentral:rRNA from 1 species